rnacentral:lncRNA from 1 species
AUAUAUAGUGUGUGUGUGUGUGUGAGGCUACUAUGCUUCUAGAAGCAUAGAGCCCUCCGUGCUUCCAGGUAGUUUUCGAUGUUGCGACCUUCGAAUCGUCGAUCGGCUCCGUUAAACAUGAUCUAGAGUAUUUGAAGUACCUAAAAAAUAAAUUUUAUGAUUUUUUGAUAUCAUUUGCCUAGUUAUCGAAGGGGUUCAAAAUCAAUAAUUUUAAUGACCGUAGUGAGCCGUUUGC